AGGGUUUGAGCUGAAAUUUCUACUAAAAAAUCAAGAUAUGGCUCCAAUUAUUACUGUGAAUAAAAUCACGUACUUAUUACCUUUGAUUUAGAUGCAUUGAUUUCAACCUUCUAUAAUUUCUUCAUCCAAACUCCAAAUUCAUCAAACAUCAUAUGAAAAGUAUGGUUGAAAAAGUGCUAUCUCCAAUCUUAGACACUGAUCCUUUGUUGCUCUCCGUAAACAUAUGUUAUACUCCAAAUAAAGAUAGUAGAUAUGAAAUUGAUACCUUAACUUUGAGUGCCAAUAACUCCUUCAUAAAAACUCCAAAUUACACAAAAUUUGCACCCAAUCCAUAUCCAAAAACCUAAACUUGCUGACUUUAGCUUCAAAAGCUCAAAUGACCUUGAAAAAAAAACCCUAAUCUCUAAUAAGGCCUCGGGCAGCCUUCUUGAAGCCCAUUGGGCAUGGCCUUCGACCAAUAGGAAUAAAGAUCCCUAUUCCUUGCCUUCAU
rnacentral:lncRNA from 1 species